rnacentral:rRNA from 1 species
GAUCUCAGCUCAAGCAAGACUACCCGCUGAAUUUAAGCAUAUUAAUAAGCGGAGGAAAAGAAAAUAACAAUGAUUCCCUCAGUAACGGCGAGUGAAGCGGGAAGAGCUCAAAUUUUAAAGCUACAUGGUUUCCAUGUCGCGUUGUAAAUUCAAGAAACGUUUUCUCAUACAGCCC